GUGAGCCUGGAAGCGCGCGCCCACCUGGCCCAGGACAGGAGCGGGGGGCGGCGCUGUCGGGACCCGGCCUACUCCUGCCGGCGCCCCGGCACUCGAUGUCACCCGGCUCCCAACAGAAGACACACGCUGCAGAAGCUUGUCAAAGGUCACAGCUAGUAAGUGCUGGAGCCGAGAUUUCCAACUCCACACCAACGCACUCUCCACUGCACCAUCCGGGGUGCUGCACAUGCACUAGAGAAUACUAAAGCCCUUGAUGCCCAGUCCUUGGAUAGCAGAAAAGGGAUGGUGACCAGAAGUCCACUUAACAGAGAUAAGGAUUUCUAAAGCGAAAGCGAAUCCCUGGCUAGGGGCCUCCCGGUCCCGCAGCCCCAAGUUCGCCCCGGACCCCUGAGGCCUCCCAGCACCGAUGCUCCCGGCCCCCUGGCCAGUCCGGCAAAUGACUUUGCAAAGCCGCAUUUCCACCUCGAUUCCAUGUUAGACCCCACGGAAGCACCAAGCCAUAUAUAAGGACGGGAAAAAACGAAGUUGACGGAGCUCCUGCAACCUCGGCCACGCGGAGGACCUCGGGGCCCCUUCCUUACCUGAAUGUAGUCAGCGAAAAGCUGUACCCGCGCUCCGCCAUCUUUACCCGGAGAGCUAAGCACAUCCGGACACAUGCGCACUGAGGUCAGUUUUUUUUCCCAUUUCUCCGCCCCUCUCCUUUACUUUUCUC